UACAGAGGCGGCAAGCGUUGUUCGGAAUUAUUGGGCGUAAAGAGCACGUAGGCGGCUAUGUAAGUCGGUUGUGAAAGCCUUCCGCUCAACGGGAGAACAGCAUCCGAUACUGCAUGGCUUGAGUGCGGGAGGGGAGAGUGGAACUUCUGGUGGAGCGGUGAAAUGCGUAGAUAUCAGAAGGAACGCCGGCGGCGAAAGCGGCUCUCUGGCCCAUAACUGACGCUGAGUGUGCGAAAGCUAGGGGAGCAAACGGG
rnacentral:rRNA from 1 species